CUUUAAGUCGAAAUAAAGGGCUUCAUCGUGUGGACGGGUGCAAGUUUACAUCGAUUUAACGCUGCUAAAUUCGACCUAAAGUCCUAGUGUAGACCAGGGCUAGGGGAUGGUAUUGUGAGAUGGAAGAUCGGCUCACAGUUUCAUCACUUUCUCCAUUUUCAGUUCCAACAAUUCUAGGGUCUGAAUCUCAGCAAGGGUCCAGUUCUUAAUUCCCUGCAGUCAGAUCAGGACACAGGGUAGCAUGUGCUGUUCUAGUUCCCAGCUUCUUGGGGAAGUUCCUUACUUCCCUUUACACACUAGUCUAGACAUUUCCAGUUUCUGAACCAUGUGAGCGCCUCUCACCAAGCCCUGGAACUUCCUGCCUUUGUUCUGCAAAGUGAGAUGCUCAACUGGUGCCCGAGGGGAUGCUGAACAGCGCUCUGCUCCCUUCAUCCUGCAGUUCUCAUUCAUUUAACACUGCACAGAAAAUACUUAGUUCAUUUACUCAGACUUAUCAAAGAACCAAACCCCACAGUAGGUUCAGAGCUCUGUAAUAAAGCACAACACUGGAACCUCACACCGCUAGUGCCACUAACCCAAAGCAAAAACUUCUCUUUUGGGCCACCUUGUGACAAUGGGCUGCCCAUUAGAGCAGAGCUUCCGCACUGAAUGCAUCUCAUCAGAAUUUAACGCUCUUAUUAAAGAAAUGCUACCAGACCAAGGAGCUAAUAUUCCAGUAAGCUCUAGCCCAACAUACAGUUUAUUCCCCAGCUUCAGGACUGUAAACAACCAAAAACUCUUCCUAUGCUUGCUAGUUUUCCACAGGAACUGGUGCACAGGCUGCAUUCCCCAGCUGAUGUCAGACAAGGAUCCUGAAAGUCUCCAACGGAGUGGAUGGGAAAUACUGUGUGGCUACAAUUGCUCCUCCCUCAUUUCUAAAGUAACCUAAGGGAGGAUUCUGGCAGUUCCCCUAGACCCCACACCAUUGCAGCCUUCCAGGGCUGACCGAGUGUUGGGACGUGGCGAGGGGGAGGGGGUCAGAGCCAGCCCUGAGAUAUCAAGCAAACUUUCAGCAAUUUGACAAAGGAUGCAGCUCUCAGCCCCAUCUGCCUCCCCUUGCCCACCAUUCAUACUCCGUUCCCCCAGCAUGCACGCACAGGGGGAAGGAGAGGAGGAGCUAGCGCUACAAGACCUGUGGCUGACACCCCUCCCCCCUCAGAUGGCAGCGGUAUGUCUCUCUCUCUCUCCCACUCCCCCCAGGUGGCUGGCAAGAGAGAUGGAAGAGAUGUGAACUUUAACUUUUCUCCAGGAUGGCAACAUCCAUUGGGGCGGCUUCCCACACGUGCAGCAAGGAUGUUCGUCCACAGCCAUGAAAAUAACUUGACUGGGUGAUGGCGUCUCAAUGCCAGGAAAUGCAACUUCAAACCCCUGCCACGCUCCUGCUGGCACACAGCACUGAAGGCUCCUCACUACUCUGGGAUUAACUGCCCUUCUUGGGUCACUAGCUGCACCAUUGCUUUCUGCUGCUUGUGCACUGGCUGGAGCAGUCAGAAUUACACCGUGCAUUGACAGCUCUUUUCAUGCUCAAAAGGUUCUACAAACAGUAGCUAGAUUCUCUAUGCACCUAUGAGAACGAUACAGGUUAUCCUCAUUUAGCCAGGGAGGAACAGGUAAAGUUCACUUUCCCAAGGCCUCAUAGGGACUCUGCGUGAGCUAGAAUUAGACGUCAGUCCAGGGUAAAACAAAUCCCAGCCUCGUCUUUAACCCCUUUAAAUCUCUCAGAAACUGACAGGCCAUUGGGGGCUUGGUGGUUUCUUAUUCAACAGACUGGACCCCAUAUCCCUGCAUUUUUGGCUAGUCUGUCUGGAAUCAUAUUUAUUAAAUACAAAGACUGGGUGUAAAGGCACUGUCAUGCGCUGCCUGGAGUGACGGGGCUACUGCUCUAGCAGAGUGCAUGAGUGAAACUGUGCUGCCACCUGCCAGUGUAUAAUGGGAAGUGUUAGACAAGGACAGAGCCAAAUGGUAAGGGGAGGAAAGCUCAUUCUCCCCCUCCCCCCGGCUGCCACACGCCUGUACCACUAAAUUCCAAGUGGAUCAAUUCAUUAGAUUCUGGUCCUGUUUUAAAAGACAUUUUUAUUAAUUGGGAAAUUAAAAAAGGAAUAAAGGCAAGUGGAGUGUUUGACACUUUGUACACAUUAAAUAUAACUGUCCUCUAUUCACGCGUACAGAGGAAGCAACAAGUGUAACAAACGUACCUACACAUUGCUUUUAUGGAACUUAAGUAGUACCAGCCAAAUGUCAAAGACAUUACUUCCAUCAAGGGCAGAGAAGCGAUUACUGUAUUCAAAACUCCAUGCCAAGUGACAUAAGAGAGCGGGUGGUGCAUCAGUCCAGCUGGGUGCCUCAGCAGGCCCAAUAAUUACAACUGAAAAGUCCCAAUCUCCUGCUUUCUCCAUCUGUGGCGAUGGUGUUCAGGCAGCGAGCCAAAGCCCUCAGUUGGACGCGUUGCAAUAGAAAUGGCUAAUUUAUAGUCAUAUUAUUUUGUUACCUUUCAUUUAUUUCAAGAAUUAAAUUGUUCUUCAACUGCAUGCAUCCCUGCCCCCACAUUCUCCUUGUGCUAGGCUAAAACUCCCCCUCCCCUUACAUUUGCAAGAAUUUGUUGUACAGGGCCUCCUGGAGAGAGAAACCCUUCCUUUCCAUGCCCACAGUGUGUUUAGCCAAAAUAAAAUUCACCCCAUGUUACAUCUGUGCAACAGCUUGAUCCCAAUAGGUCAGUUAUGUCUUUCCUUGGAGAAGAUUGCCCCAUCCCUUCCUUAUCGUGAAUUAGUCAGACCAUAUAGGCACAAACUGCUCACCCUUGAGUCAGGAGCUCUAGCACGUUGGCCAAUCUGGCAUAUGGAGCUUUGAGGAAAGACCAAAAUAAACCCACUUUUCCCCCUUCAUAUGAAUAAAUACUAGGAUUUAAAGAAUCUUAGGUUGGACAGUAAGCUCUUCGGGGCAAGGACUGUCUUUUUGUUGGGUGUGUACACAGUGCUCAGGACAAUGAAGCCCUGGACCAUAAAUAGGGGUCUAGGCACUACCAUACAAAUAAUAAAUGGAGGUUACUUACCUGGAACUGGAGGUUCUGUAUUCUACACAGGCGCGCAUACACACACCAUGUGUCUCAGAUGGGGAACUCUUGCAAGCCGUGUCCAUUGGACUGUGGCUGCACCCUGGAGUUCCCCCAUGCUCACCAUCAAAGCUGUAAGGGGAGGUGCUGAUUGACCACUUCUCCAAUUUCUUCUCUAACAUGAAUCCAGUCAUGAUCUGAAGCAGACGGGAAGGAGCAGGGGUAAUGGAAUACAGAUAGGGACCACACCGCUCAAAGAACCUCCAAUGACAGCUUGUCUGAUGUCAAGAGAGUGAAGCCUCCACUCUUUGCUGAAGUUAUACGGUUUCAGAAAGAAUAUUGAUUAUCAUAGGUGACAGGAGGCAGAGCGAAGAUAAGACUGUCACCUGAACUUCCUGGCUAGAUCUGCCUAUUAGAAGCCAUUUGUCCAAGUACAGGAAAAUGGGGUUGCUGUUUUGUCUCAUCUGUGCUACUACCACUGAGAAGACCUUUCUGAAGACUCUGGGUGCUGUUGCCAGACAGAACAGGAGUGCUCAGAAACGGAAGUGUCCCUGUGCUAUCAGAAACCUGAGGAAUCUCCUGUAGGAAUGGAAACAAACAUCUUUCCUGAACCAUAUUUCUUUUUCCAGGGAGGGAAUUACUGAUACCAAUUUAGCCAUGGGAAUUUUAAUUUGCAAAUAAAAGUAUUUAGCUGAUGCAAGUCAAGAAUGGGCAGCCAUCCUCCCUUUUUCUUGGGAACUGAGAAAUAUUGGGAAUAGAAUCUUUACCUUGAUGCUGCGGUGGCACUCGCUCGAUAGCCCCUCAUUCGAGCAGGGAGUACCCCUCUUAUUGGAGGAUCUCCUUGUGAAAGUGGUUGCUGAAGAGAGGCUGGGAGGAGGGGUUGUGGGGAGGUGGGAAAGAAACUUGAUGGUACAGCCCAAGUGGAUAAUAUCUAGUACCUACUUGUCCAUUGUUGUAGCCCUCCAGCUGUGCGUGAAGUAUGCUAGGUGGCCACCAAAGGUUUGGGAAAUAGGUGGGGAGUGAUUUGGUUUGCAACUCUCAAAUGUCCUUUCAGAAGUAAACUUUAGCUGGUGGAUGAGGUUGGAUGGCUGACAUCGAGAUUGAUGGGUUUGCAUACGUUGGUCUUUGCAACUUCUGAUGCUUGCAUAGCGCUUCGUAUGGUCACUGGCUGCAAAAAAAACUGUGGAAGAAGCCUGGGUUUAUAUAUCUGUUUAUGAUGUUUCCUCUUUGGGGCUACGGUAUAAAUGCUCAGGGAACAGAGGAUUGUCCUUGAGUCUUUUAAUGAGUGCAAGCCCUCAAUGGUGUUCUGAAUCUCUCAAAGGAAUCCUCAAGAGAGAAGCCACAAUUCAUGCCACAUUACCAUUGCAAUUGCUAUGGUUCUAGAUAUGGGAUCAGCAAUGUCAACUGCAGCUUGGAGUGAAGUUUGUGGCAUGAGUAUACCCUGUCCUCCUGAGUAAGUUUAUCUGUAUAGUCCAAGAACUUGGAAUCAUUCAUAAAAUCAUACUUCACUAACAGGGCUGGUAGUUAGCAACUCUAAACUGGAGGCUGAUGGAUGCGAACACCUUCCGCCUCAGAAUGUCAAAACAUUUAGCACCCUUCUCUGCAAGGGUAGUCUUGGGGUGUUGUUGCCUAGAUCCUUCCAUGGCUGCUCGUACAACUAGAGAGUUAGAGGCAGGACGGGUGAAGAAAAAUUCUGACCCUUUCACAGGGACAAAGUAUCAUCACUCAGCUCUUUUGGGGGUAAAAGAGCAUGAUGUAGGUGUGUGCCAUCCCAACCUGGUAGGUUCCAUGAUAGCCUCAUUUACUGGGAGACCUACCCGAUUGGGUCCCCUGGGCUGUACGAUGAACAAGAGUUUAUGCUGUGCGUCAUGAACUUCCUCAAGUGGGAUCUGAAGUUCAGUUGGUACCCUCUGCAAGAGUUCUGGGUAGUGCUUGUGGUUAUCCAGCAGGGAUAAUGAAGACGGGGCAAUUGCCUCAUUGGGCAAGGAGGAUGAUUCACCUGUCUGUACCAGUAGAUCCAGCUCAACGUCUUCCUCCUCUGUUUACUUCAGAGGCGCCAACUGCUAUUGCCUAAGGGAAGAGGACUGGUGAGACUCUCACAUGGAUCCAGGAUACCACAUAUAGGGAUCCCAUGGACCCCAAUAAGGCCAGUUCAAAGGCUGGUGGGGGGAGGAUCCCCAAGGCAUUGGGCCAGGGCCAAUCAUAGGUGGGGCCAGGAGGGCCAUUUGGCCUGGGCCUCAAGCUCAAAGGGGGCCUCAAAUUUAGACAUUUCUUAUUUUUUUUGGCAUUUGAUAAGUUUCGCAACUUGUUUUUAUGCGCAUCCCUA